GAUGAACGCUGGCGGCGUGCCUAAUACAUGCAAGUCGAGCGAACGGACGAGAAGCUUGCUUCUCUGAUGUUAGCGGCGGACGGGUGAGUAACACGUGGAUAACCUACCUAUAAGACUGGGAUAACUUCGGGAAACCGGAGCUAAUACCGGAUAAUAUUUUGAACGGCAUGGUUCAAAAGUGAAAGACGGCCUUGCUGUCACUUAUAGAUGGAUCCGCGCUGCAUUAGCUAGUUGGUAAGGUAACGGCUUACCAAGGCAACGAUGCAUAGCCGACCUGAGAGGGUGAUCGGCCACACUGGAACUGAGACACGGUCCAGACUCCUACGGGAGGCAGCAGUAGGGAAUCUUCCACAAUGGGCGAAAGCCUGACGGAGCCACGCCGCGUGGGUGAUGAAGGUCUUCGGAUCGUAAAACUCUGUUAUUAGGGAAGAACAUAUGUGUAAGUAACUGUGCACGUCUUGACGGUACCUAAUCAAAAAGCCACGGCUAACUACGUG
rnacentral:rRNA from 1 species